rnacentral:rRNA from 1 species
UACGGGGGGAGCAAGCGUUGUUCGGAUUUACUGGGCGUAAAGGGCGCGUAGGCGGCCAGCACAAGUCAGUUGUGAAAUCUCCGAGCUUAACUCGGAAAGGUCAACUGAUACUGUGCGGCUAGAGUGCGGAAGGGGCAACUGGAAUUCUUGGUGUAGCGGUGAAAUGCGUAGAUAUCAAGAGGAACACCGGUGGCGAAGGCGGGAUCCUGGGCCAGUACUGACGCUGAGGAGCGAAAGCGUGGGGAGCAAACAGG